CCAGACUCCUACGGGAGGCAGCAGUCGGGAAUAUUGCGCAAUGGAGGAAACUCUGACGCAGUGACGCCGCGUGCAGGAAGAAGGUUUUCGGAUUGUAAACUGCUUUAGACAGGGAAGAAACAAGACAGUACCUGUAGAAUAAGCUCCGGCUAACUACGUGCCAGCAGCCGCGGUAAUACGUAGGGAGCAAGCGUUAUCCGGAUUUAUUGGGUGUAAAGGGUGCGUAGACGGAGAAGCAAGUUAGUUGUGAAAUCCCUCGGCUUAACUGAGGAACUGCAACUAAAACUACUUCCCUUGAGUGCUGGAGAGGAAAGUGGAAUUCCUAGUGUAGCGGUGAAAUGCGUAGAUAUUAGGAGGAACACCAGUGGCGAAGGCGACUUUCUGGACAGUAACUGACGUUGAGGCACGAAAGUGUGGGGAGCAAACAGGAUUAGAUACCCCCGUAGA
rnacentral:rRNA from 1 species